CUUUCAAUCACAAAUUUCUUACAUCAAGGAAAUAACAGGUCUAUUCUAUGAUUCCAUAAGAUGGAGUAGAAUUGUGCUACAAUGCUAGCUUAGUUUGGAAUUGUAAACUGUAUUAACACAAGAAUAAUUCUGCCAUAGGUUUACUUCACUCAUUGGUUGAAUAAUUUGGAAGACAUAUCAUGAAAUGGGCUUUCCAUAAUAUACUGGCUACAAAACCUGUUACAGAGUCCAUUCCAGGACUUCAAGUGGUUUUCUCUAUAUAUACCUUUCAAAGGUCAUAAGAGUAAAGUCACCUCAAAUCUCCUUCACCAAAAAGGCAAACGAGAGAGGACCUCAGAUAAUGAGAGACUUUGACCUAUUCCUGUAGAACAUUGCUUUUCAUUUCAUU
rnacentral:lncRNA from 1 species